rnacentral:rRNA from 1 species
GGGUGCGAUCAUAACAGCACUAAUGCACCGGAUCCCAUCAGAACUCCGCAGUAAAGCGUGCUUGGGUGAUAUGUUCACUAGGAUGGGUGACCUCCUUGGCAGUCCUCGUCUUGCACCCC